rnacentral:rRNA from 1 species
UACGUAGGGGGCAAGCGUUGUCCGGAUUCAUUGGGCGUAAAGAGCGUGUAGGCGGCCAGGUAGGUCGGUUGUGAAAACUGGAGGCUCAACCUUCAGAGGUCGACCGAAACCAUCUGGCUAGAGUCCGGGAGAGGAGAGUGGAAUUCCUGGUGUAGCGGUGAAAUGCGCAGAUAUCAGGAAGAACACCCGUGGCGAAAGCGGCUCUCUGGAACGGUACUGACGCUGAGGCGCGAAAGCGUGGGGAUCAAACAGG